rnacentral:rRNA from 1 species
UACGGGGGGAGCAAGCGUUGUUCGGAUUUACUGGGCGUAAAGGGCGCGUAGGCGGCCUCUGCAAGUCGACUGUGAAAUCUCCGGGCUUAACCCGGAAAGGUCAGCCGAUACUGCAGGGCUAGAGUGCAGAAGGGGCAACUGGAAUUCUCGGUGUAGCGGUGAAAUGCGUAGAUAUCGAGAGGAACACCUGCGGCGAAGGCGGGUUGCUGGGCUGACACUGACGCUGAGGCGCGAAAGCUAGGGGAGCGAACGGG